rnacentral:rRNA from 1 species
AGCUCCAAUAGCGUAUACUAAAGUUGUUGCAGUUAAAAAGCUCGUAGUUGGAUUUCUGGUUGCGAAUAUCGGUCCGCUCCUCACGGAGUGUGCACCAGAUAUUUGCGUCCAUCCUCGGGGAGAGCGCCCUUGGCAUUAAGUUGUUGAGUGUGGGAUCCCCGUCAUUUACUGUGAGCAAAAUAGAGUGUUCAAAGCAGGCUUAGGCCGUUGAAUACAUUAGCAUGGAAUAAUAAGAUAGGACCUUGGUCUAUUUUGUUGGUUUGCACUCCAAGGUAAUGAUUAAUAGGGAUAGUUGGGGAUAUUCGUAUUCAAUUGUCAGAGGUGAAAUUCUUGGAUUUAUGGAAGACGAACUACUGCGAAAGCAUUUAUCAAGGAUGUUUUCAUUAAUCAAGAACGAAAGUAAGGGGAUCGAAGAUGAUUAGAUACCAUCGUAGUCUUUACCAUAAACUAUGCCGACUAGGGAUUGGUGGUCGUUUGUAAUGACUCCAUCAGCACCUUAUGAGAAAUCAAAGUCUUUGGGUUCCGGGGGGAGUAUGGUCGCAAGGCUGAAACUUAAAGAAAUUGACAGAAGGGCACCACCAGGAGUGGAGCCUGCG